ACAACAUUUACAAUGUUUGCAG
rnacentral:miRNA from 1 species